CCUACGGGGGGCAGCAGUGGGGGAUAUUGCACAAUGGGGGGAACCCUGAUGCAGCGACGCCGCGUGGGUGAAGAAGUAUUUCGGUAUGUAAAGCCCUAUCGGCAGGGAAGAAAUUGGACGGUACCUGACUAAGAAGCCCCGGCUAACUACGUGCCAGCAGCCGCGGUAAUACGUAGGGGGCAAGCGUUAUCCGGAUUCACUGGGUGUAAAGGGAGCGUAGACGGCCAUGCAAGCCAGGGGUGAAAGCCCGGGGCCCAACCCCGGGACUGCCCUUGGAACGGCAUGGCUGGAGUGCGGGAGGGGCAGGCGGAAUUCCGGGUGUAGCGGUGAAAUGCGUAGAUAUCAGGAGGAACACCGGCGGCGAAGGCGGCCUGCUGGACCGCGACUGACGUUGAGGCUCGAAAGCGUGGGGAGCGAACAGGAUUAGAUACCCCAGUAGUC
rnacentral:rRNA from 1 species